UAGCAACCCGCGCUGAUCACCGUGUGCCAUUAAGAAUUGAACAAAACUUCACAUCACUUCAUUUCAACAUCUUUAAAAUAACGUUUUCUUAUCGUUAUGUAAAACAAAACUUAUAUAUUUGGAAAGAGGAUAAAUUAAACUUUUGAUCUAUGUGCAUAUUUUUAUGUUUAUUAAUUCAUAAAAGUGUUUUUUGAAGCGUUAAAGUCAAUACACACCGGUAAACAUCGAUAAUGGCGAGUUUACAAGAUCCGCGCGUGGCCUAAUUAUACGGGGUUCACGAGAUCUAAAAUGCGGCAGUCUAAAUAUUUAUGAAUAUGCAUGAAAUUUUCCAACCAAUCAGAUCUAAUGUCUCUCUUCAACAUGGUAGUUGUAAGUAAACCGAACUCCAAUAAUUACCGAAGAUACGACACCCCAAAGUUCAUGCGACCCUGCCUGAAAAGUUUUCGAUGUUGCCAUACACAGCUGGAGUUUUGGGACUGAUAAUCAGCUGAUUUUUCAAUCUUCCAAGAUAAAAUGGAUGUCACCAUAUUUGUGUUUCCCUAAUAAAACUAUGAUUUUUAUACAAUAUUGUCUUUUUUCUGCAUAAAUGCUUUGAGAUAGAAAAAUAAAAACAGCAGAAUCAGAAAGAUCAUAACUUUUUCAGUCAGAGUAGCAAGUUUUAUAAAAUUCUGCCAAGUAAUAAAUAAAUUAAAAGGAAAUAAGUUUAAUAACUACUUUUUUGAAAUGCACCGGGUCCAUCCACAAGCGAGUUGACACCUAUCUUUACUGUAGCAAGAAAUUCUAGAAAACGACUGAAAUUUUGCAACUUUAAACUCCCAUAACUUUUGUUCUACUUAAGAUAUCUUUAAGAAAUAAAAAGUAUUAUGCAAGUUUUAAGAACCUCUUUCCAAUGAAAUAAAAUUUGUGUACAAUUUCCCAACAUAAAAAAUCAGCUUGGGUUGCUAAUACAAAUAAAUGAA